rnacentral:lncRNA from 1 species
GGGCGGGGCCCGAUCUGGGGCGUAGGCGGGGAGGUUGGGGGGGCGGGGAGGUUGGGGGGCGGGGUUUGCGGCCGACCAGUGAGAGGGCGGGGCCCCGUGAGGGAGGCACGUGGGAGCCGGGGGGCGUGGCCGGGGCGUGGCCGGGAGCGCUCAGGUGCGCGCGGGGCGCAGGUGCACGCAGGUUGCUCGCCGGCGCGCGGGGUCCGGCGGGCGUCCCGGGGUGGUCCCCGCGUGGGGCCAGGGGCGUCCGCGCGGGCGGGGCGAGGUCGGGGACGGAAGCCGCCCGCCCUCCUCGGCGCUGGGAGCUUUUGGCUGGUUCUGCGGGAGGAGCUCCCAGGUGACCCGCGGGGUCUGAAGCCGCCGCUCGGGAGCUCGGGGCCUGCGCGGCGUCUACGGGGCGAGCGAGGGAGAACUGACGCCUUUCGCCCGGAUCCUUCGCCCCUUCCGAGAACCAGGUGGGUCGCGUUUGUUUUCAAGUCCGAUGGUUUUCGCGGUAAUUUGCGAGAAGCACCACGGUGGAUCCUGUGGGUCGCUCCUGAGCUUUCUGACUCCCGGUGUUGCUGUCAGUGGGCUCUGCGCGCGCGCGAACAGUUCGAACGGGCACGUUCCUGCGGUUCAGGGCGCCGUUCGCGUCCUCACACUCGGAUCCAGGUGGAACUCACGCCACAGCCACCGCGUCGCAGGGCUCAGCUCGGCGCCGCCCCCGCAGCGCUGCGGGCCCUGCACCUUCCCGGGCUCCGGAACGGCCUCUGCCCCUCUCCGCGCCCUCCCGGCCCCGCCCGUGCUGACCUCCGCUCGGUGCAGCCCUGCGUGCUGGGGCUGUUGUGUUCCGGCGUCUUUCGCUUAGAAUCGCGUCUUCAAGGUCCGUGCGCGGCGGAGCGGGGGUCAGGCCCGCGGUGCUUUUCAGGAGGGACUAAUAUUCCGUGCACGGAGCCCGCACGUUUCUGUCUUCGUCUGUUGAUGGACGGUGGGUUGUGUCUACUUUUUGCCUUUUGUGUCCAGUGA